rnacentral:rRNA from 1 species
GACGAACGCUGGCGGCGUGCUUAACACAUGCAAGUCGAACGGUGAAGCGCCUUCCUUUUUGGUGGGUGUGGAUGAGUGGCGAACGGGUGAGUAACACGUGAGUAACCUGCCCCCUUCUUCUGGAUAACCGCAUGAAAGUGUGGCUAAUACGGGAUAUUCUGGGUCUGUCGCAUGAUGGGUCUGGGAAAGAUAUUGUUUCGGUGGGGGAUGGGCUCGCGGCCUAUCAGCUUGUUGGUGGGGUGAUGGCCUACCGAGUCGGUGACGGGUAGCCGGCCUGAGAGGGUGGACGGUCACACUGGGACUGAGACACGGCCCAGACUCCUACGGGAGGCAGCAGUGGGGAAUAUUGCACAAUGGGCGCAAGCCUGAUGCAGCGACGCCGCGUGAGGGAUGGAGGCCUUCGGGUUGUGAACCUCUUUCGCCAGUGAAGCAGGCCUGCCUCGUUUGUGGGUGGGUUGACGGUAGCUGGAUAAGAAGCGCCGGCUAACUACG